ACUCCUACGGAAGGCAGCAGUGGGGAAUAUUGCGCAAUGGGCGAAAGCCUGACGCAGCCAACCCGCGUGUGUGAUGAAGGCCUCGGGUUGUAAAGCACUGUCGUGAGGGAAGAAGUUCUGACGGUACCUCACAAGAAAGCACCGGCUAACCCCGUGCCAGCAGCCGCGGUAAU
rnacentral:rRNA from 1 species